rnacentral:lncRNA from 1 species
UCCCCGUGUUGAGCGCAGAGCCCGGCAAGGGGCUCCAUCCCACCACCCCAGGAUCACCACCCAAGGUGAAACCAAGAGUUGGUCGCUCAACUGCUCAACCAACUGCACCACCCAGGCACCCCUCUCCAUCAUUUUAACGGGCAUAUGGAGAGAUGGAGGCGUGUGGUGGUGGAAGGACACAAAAGUGGAUGUGAAGAAGGUAUCUUGGUCAUGGGAACUGAGAAACAUCUUCUCUUGACUUCCUUGGGCUCUAGUAGCUUUCUUGUUCCAGGCUCCAUGAGGCUGUCUGUACAUUUUUGCAGACACCCACCUCCCUCAUCGCCAUGGGUGUUUUAGAGCGAGUUCCCAGUACCUCAGGGACUCUGAAUGAGCGCCUGUCCCUUCUGACGCAAAGACCUACCUUCUGUGAGAUCUGUCUACAUAAGCAUCCCGCAGCUUGGCAGCGUGCUCGACAGACUUCAGGUGUACACAGAGCCAGUGGAGGGCAGGAGCCCAAGCGGGGCACGACGAGGGCCGGCCGGGCAUGGGGGACACAUGAUGAGUCUCUGGAAAAUCCAAUUUACUCCCACUUUUCACCCAUUUGGAAAAUGCCUUAUUGCCCACAAAGCAAAAUCUACCCUGCGCUCAACUCCCCGAACAAAGUGCUCACUGGUUACCGAGGAUUUAAUAAAAGUUCUUGGAAAAACCUAGCAAAUACUAGCAGAUAACAGUGAUUGCGUAUAUACUUCCUGUACAGUAGUUAAUAAUAAAGGGUUUUCCACGUGUG